GCUGGUGUGGCUCAGUGGUUGAGCAUCAACCAUGAACCAAGAGGACACUGGUUCGAUUCCAGUCAAGGCA
rnacentral:tRNA from 1 species